rnacentral:rRNA from 1 species
GGUGAACGCUGACAGAAUGCUUAACACAUGCAAGUCCACUUGAAUUUGGGUUUUUAACUUAGGUUUGGGUGGCGGACGGGUGAGUAACGCGUAAAGAACUUGCCUCACAGCUAGGGACAACAUUUGGAAACGAAUGCUAAUACCUAAUAUUAUGAUAAUAGGGCAUCCUAUAAUUAUGAAAGCUAUAAGCGCUGUGAGAGAGCUUUGCGUCCCAUUAGCUAGUUGGAGAGGUAACGGCUCACCAAGGCGAUGAUGGGUAGCCGGCCUGAGAGGGUGAUCGGCCACAAGGGGACUGAGGCACGGCCCGUACUCCUACGGGAGGCAGCAGUGGGGAAUAUUGGACAAUGGACCAAGAGUCUGAUCCAGCAACUCUGUGUGCACGAUGAAGUUUUUCGGAAUGUAAAGUGCUUUCAGUUGGGAAGAAAGAAAUGACGGUACCAACAGAAGAAGUGACGGCUAAAUACGUG